rnacentral:rRNA from 1 species
CGUUGGAGAGUUUGAUCCUGGCUCAGGACGAACGCUGGCGGCGUGCUUAAUGCAUGCAAGUCGAACGAGGCCCCACCGACGGGUAACCGUCGCGGGGUCCUAGUGGCGAACGGGUGAGUAACACGUGAGGAACCUGCCCCGGAGUCCGGGAUAGCCCAGGGAAACCUGGAUUAAUACCGGAUGCCCUCGGUCAGUCGCAUGUCCGAUCGAGGAAAAGUCCGCUGCUCCGGGAUGGCCUCGCGGCCUAUCAGCUUGUUGGUGAGGUAACGGCUCACCAAGGCAACGACGGGUAGCUGGUCUGAGAGGACGAACAGCCACACUGGGACUGAGACACGGCCCAGACUCCUACGGGAGGCAGCAGCAGGGAAUAUUGCACAAUGGGCGAAAGCCUGAUGCAGCGACGCCGCGUGAGGGAUGAAGGCCUCCGGGUCGUAAACCUCUUUCAGGAGGGACGAAGCGCAAGUGACGGUACCUCCAGAAGAAGCCCCGGCCAACUACGUGCCAGCAGCCGCGGUAAUACGUAGGGGGCAAGCGUUGUCCGGAUUCAUUGGGCGUAAAGAGCUCGUAGGCGGCUCGGUAAGUCGGCCGUGAAAUCCCGGGGCUCAACUCCGGGAGGCCGGUCGAUACUGCCGUGGCUAGGGUCCGGUAGAGGAGAGUGGAAUUCCCGGUGUAGCGGUGAAAUGCGCAGAUAUCGGGAGGAACACCAGUAGCGAAGGCGGCUCUCUGGGCCGGUACCGACGCUGAGGAGCGAAAGCUAGGGGAGCAAACAGGAUUAGAUACCCUGGUAGUCCUAGCCGUAAACGUUGGGCACUAGGUGUGGCGGAUUGAUUGACAUCUGCCGUGCCGCAGCUAACGCAUUAAGUGCCCCGCCUGGGGAGUACGGUCGCAAGGCUAGAACUCAAAGGAAUUGACGGGGCCCCGCACAAGCGGCGGAGCAUGCGGCUCAAUUCGAUGAAACCCGAAGAACCUCACCUGGACUUGACAUCACGGGAAAAGCCGUGGAAACACGGUGUGCGUAAGCGUCCGUGACAGGUGGUGCAUGGCUGUCGUCAGCUCGUGUCGUGAGAUGUUGGGUUAAGUCCCGCAACGAGCGCAACCCCUGUCCUAUGUUGCCAGCGGAUCAUGCCGGGGACUCAUAGGAGACUGCCGGGGACAACUCGGAGGAAGGCGGGGAUGACGUCAAGUCAUCAUGCCCCUUAUGUCCAGGGCUGCACGCAUGCUACAAUGGCGAGUACAACGGGCUGCGAUCCCGCGAGGGGGAGCCAAUCCCUUAAAACUCGUCUCAGUUCGGAUUGGAGUCUGCAACUCGACUCCAUGAAGCCGGAGUCGCUAGUAAUCGCGGAUCAGCUAUGCCGCGGUGAAUACGUUCUCGGGGCUUGUACACACCGCCCGUCACAUCACGAAAGUCGGCAACACCCGAAGUCAGUGGCCCAACCCCUCGGGGAGGGAGCUGCCGAAGGUGGGGUCGGCGAUUGGGAUGAAGUCGUAACAAGGUAGCCGUACGGGAACGUGCGGCUGGAUCACCUCCUUUCUAAGGAGC